GUGUGAUUGUUUGAUUCUAUUUGUGAGUACUGAUUGUUUGAGCUGUGAAUACUGUUUUUUUUGGUGAUAUUUGUGAACAAUUUAAUUCAUUUGAGCAUGGCUUCUAACACGAAUGGUGGUGGUUCUAGUAGUAAUUAUGGUUCUAUAGACCCUUCCAACCCUUUGUUUGUAAAUUCUUCUGAUGUACCUGGUGCGUGUCU
rnacentral:lncRNA from 1 species